rnacentral:rRNA from 1 species
CACGGCGAGUGAAGCGGCAAGAGCUCAAAUUUGAAAUCUGGCCUCCCUUGGGGGGUCCGAGUUGUAAUUUGUAGAGGAUGCUUCGGGUGUGGCCGCCGUCUAAGUUCCUUGGAACAGGACGUCGUAGAGGGUGAGAAUCCCGUCUUGGGCGGCCGGUCCGCGCCCGUGUGAAGCUCCUUCGACGAGUCGAGUUGUUUGGGAAUGCAGCUCUAAGCGGGUGGUAAAUUUCAUCUAAAGCUAAAUACUGGCCGGAGACCGAUAGCGCACAAGUAGAGUGAUCGAAAGGUUAAAAGCACCUUGAAAAGGGAGUUAAACAGCACGUGAAAUUGUUGAAAGGGAAGCGCUUGCGGCCAGACUCGAGGGGCGGGGUUCAGCGGGUGCGCGUCACCCGUGCACUCCCCGUCCCCCCGGGCCAGCAUCAGUUUCGACGGCCGGUCAAAGGCCCCCGGAAUGUGUCGUCUCUAGGGACGUCUUAUAGCCGGGGGUGCAAUGCGGCCCGCCGGGACUGAGGAACGCGCUCCGGCUCGGAUGCUGGCGUAAUGGCCGUAAGCGGCCCGUCUUGAAACACGGACCAAGGAGUCUAACAUCCACGCGAGUGCUCGGGUGUCAAACCCGUGCGCGCAGUGAAAGCGAACGGAGGUGGGAGCCCUAGGGCGCACCAUCGACCGAUCCUGAAGUCUUCGGAUGGAUUUGAGUAGGAGCGUGGCCGUUGGGACCCGAAAGAUGGUGAACUAUGCCUGAAUAGGGUGAAGCCAGAGGAAACUCUGGUGGAGGCUCGCAGCGGUUCUGACGUGCAAAUCGAUCGUCAAAUUU